rnacentral:rRNA from 1 species
UACAGAGGGUGCUAGCGUUGUUCGGAAUCAUUGGGCGUAAAGGGCGCGUAGGCGGUUCAAAAAGUCAAAUGUGAAAGCCCAGGGCUCAACCUUGGAAGUGCAUCUGAAACUGCUGAACUUGAAUCUCGGAGAGGGUGGUGGAAUUCCCAGUGUAGAGGUGAAAUUCGUAGAUAUUGGGAGGAACACCGGUGGCGAAGGCGACCGCCUGGACGAAGAUUGACGCUGAGGCGCGAGAGCGUGGGGAGCAAACAG